CCCAUCUGACUUGUUUCUAAAUGGGAUAACUGUGGAAAAGCUAGAGCUAAUACAUGCACUAGAGCUUUGUCCUUACGGAAAAGCGCAUUUAUUAGAACAAAACCACGCGGCUUCGGCUGCUUCUUGUUGACUCAGAAUAACUAAGCUGACCGCAUGGCCUUGUGCCGGCGGCGUGUCUUUCAAGCGUCCACUUUAUCAACUUGACGGGAGCAUAAUCGACUCCCGUGGUGGUGACGGAUAACGGAGGAUCAGGGUUCGACUCCGGAGAAGGGGCCUGAGAAAUGGCCACUACGUCUAAGGAUGGCAGCAGGCGCGCAAAUUACCCACUCUCGGCUCGAGGAGGUAGUGACGAGAAAUAACGAGACUGUUCUCUUUGAGGCCGGUCAUCGGAAUGGGUACAAUUUAAACCCUUUAACGAGUAUCAAGCAGAGGGCAAGUCUGGUGCCAGCAGCCGCGGUAAUUCCAGCUCUGCUAAUACAUAGAAUUAUUGCUGCGGUUAAAAAGCUCGUAGUUGGAUUCGUAUCGGUACCUUGGAACCCUUCUGGUGUCUCUAGGCGUUAUCGAUUUAUCGCAAUGUUCGGCUUUGAGUCCUUAACAGGAUUCUUAACAGGCAUUGCAAGUUUACUUUGAACAAAUCAGAGUGCUUCAAACAGGCGUUUUCGCUUGAAUGAUCGCGCAUGGAAUAAUACAGAAUGAUUUCCGUUCAGUUUUUUUGGUUUUACGGGCUGAGA
rnacentral:rRNA from 1 species